GUGGGAACUAAAUGACCCCAGGGUGUAUGGAUAGGGUUAAGGCUCAUUGAGAAAAUUGACUUCAGACGGAUGUCUCUAUAAAAACUGAUAAAAUUAGGAGCUUACUUUUGAUUAUUUCUGAUGUGAGGAAAUUGUAUUCUCUGUCCCCAGCUAUUUCCAUAGAAUCUGUACUUUCUACCUGUGCUGAAAGUGGCUUGAAAGAGCACCAAAACUGGUCCCUCACAUCGGUGGAUCAACUGUCUGUUGCUAUGGAGAGAAGCUUUCUACCUAAAACAUCCACUUUUUCUUAUUUGAACAUUCCAAAGUAAACCAUGGUCUUGUUCUUGUUUAGUGUGUGUUUGUGUGUGUGUACUUAAUCAUAGUGUGUGUGUUUUAUGUGUAAAUCAAAUAAUGAGAACAUGGUCUUGUUCUUGUCCAGUGUAUGUUUGUGUGUGUGCACUUAAUUAUACUGUGUGUGUGUGUUUGUGUGUAAAGCAAUAAAUUAAUAAUGAGAACAAAGACAAUUGAUUGAUUGUAGUUGUGUCUGUUACCAUAGCAAGCUGUUGACUGUGAAUUUAUUGAAUACAUAAAAAUGUAUAUAUGGAAGGUUUGGAGGGGGGGUUACUUGGCCAGUGCCCACUAUCUUGACCCACCUUGUGGGUAGAGUCUGUUUCUUGUUUUGAAAAGUUGGCAGCUUUGUAAAUGGAGAGUUGUGACUGCGAUGUGUGUCCUUUAAAUCAUCCUUCUUUUUGCAAUUUUUGUUCUUUCUUGAAACAGAAUUCCUGCUUGCCCAGCCACUGGAGGUGAGGGUGUUUCUGAAAACUUGCACAACAGGCGUGAUCCCAACAGUCGUCCGUACCUGAGUGCCAUGGAAGUCUUGCCCUUCCUUGAGAUACAGCCAUAGUUCUCUCCCCUGAUCAUAGAAUACGAAGCUUUCAUCGACAAAGACAUCUUGACGGUUCGGAUCCAGGCAAGGUCUAAGCUCUGUGGCGCCAUCGGUAGCUGGAUAACACAGUGGACAGCAAACACAGUGUUCCCUGCUGUACGUGAGAGACAAUCCCUGUGGUCUGAGGCCAGUCAAGCCAGUGCCAAUAUAGAGUCAGUAUCUCACUGACCGCUCCUCUACCUGUGUGUGGGAAGAAAACUGUGUUUGAUGUCUUCAGAACGUCAGAACCUGACAGAAAUGUUCAACUAUCUGUCCGGAGAACAUUCACAACGCUACCAUGUUGAAGGGGACAUCAGUGCUGCUUACUCAGAGAUGGUCAUCAUCAGGAUCUGUCGGUAGAUUUGACUGGACAAAAGAUGAAGCAGACAUAGAGAUGUGGAUAACUGAGUGGAUCAGAAAAACCCCUCAUGUCUAGCUCAUCCCGAAUAUUCCCCACUAUUUUUUAA